rnacentral:lncRNA from 1 species
GGUGUGAGCUGACGAGAGCUUCAGCCUGCUUGGGAUUCUGGCCCCAUGAUUUAGGGUUUCUUUGGAGCCCAUCUGAGCCUGGGGGGCCCUGUGGUGGUGGAAGAGGUCCAGCCUGCGGUGGUGAAAGAGGAGCCAGCGCCGGCAGCCACCAUGGCGUCACGCAUAGGGUUGCGCAUGCAGCUCAUGCGGGAGCAGGCGCAGCAGGAGGAGCAGCGGGAGCGCAUGCAGCAACAGGCUGUCAUGCAUUACAUGCAGCAGCAGCAGCAGCAGCAACAGCAGCAGCUCGGAGGGCCGCCCACCCCGGCCAUCAAUACCCCCGUCCACUUCCAGUCGCCACCACCUGUGCCUGGGGAGGUGUUGAAGGUAGGGCCUGUUCUGGCCUGC